rnacentral:rRNA from 1 species
CCUACGGGGUGCAGCAGUGGGGAAUAUUGGGCAAUGGAGGAAACUCUGACCCAGCAACGCCGCGUGAAUGAUGAAGGUCUUCGGAUUGUAAAGUUCUUUUCUAAGGGAAGAAGAAAGUGACGGUACCUUAGGAAUAAGCCUCCGCUAACUACGUGCCAGCCCCCGCUGUAAUACGUAGGAGGCAAGCGUUAUCCGGAAUGACUGGGCGUAAAGGGUGCGUAGGUGGUUUGACAAGUUGGUAGCGUAACUCCGAGGCUUAACCACGGAACUGCUACCAAAACUGUUGGACUCGAGUGCAGGCGGGGCAAAUGGAAUUCGUUGUGUAGCGGUGGAAUGCGUAGAUAUUAGGAGGAACACCAGUGGCGAAGGCGAUUUGCUGGACUGUAACUGACACUGAGGCACGAAAGCGUGGGGAGCAAACAGGAUUAGAUACCCUGGUAGUC